AAAGCAUGCAAGUAACUGUAGAGUUCUUGCAUAAAACAACAGGGGAUCACAGCCAGGUUUUGCUGCUGCACUACCAUUCAGGCUUUCUUUAGACCUGCAUCAAGAAAAGGAUGAUGAAACGGAGCAGUUUCUGACAGAAAACACUGAUCCUUCUUUGCGAUCUCGUCUUUUUGCUGUUUUCCCACAGCCUCCGGGAGGGACUUGUCCAAACUCAGCAUCAGCUUUUGUCUUUGGAUGACCAGGACAUCAUCAUGAGGCCCCUGAAAGGAGAAAUCUGGCCCAACAGCACUGCAGAGGUGAACAUCAUCUUCAAACCGCAGGAAGCCAGGAUCUACCAGCAGACUGUUUACUGUGAAAUCACUGGUACUUACAGUAGCAUAAUGAUAACAGAUGUCGUGUUAAAAUAAAUAGAUUUUUGCUGUCACAAUUAUGCUUAUGCAUGCUUGUAUUGUUUUCUAACAAUGCAUUAGUAUAUUUGCAUGGGGUGCUUGAGCCCAUCUGCAGGUUUGCAUUUAUUUGCAUGUUUGACUAAGGUCUAACAAUAUUCUGGU
ensembl:lncRNA